rnacentral:rRNA from 1 species
GACGAACUGUUCUAACGUUAUUCGGAAUCACUGGGCUUAAAGGGCGCGUAGACUGUUUGUUAAGCGGGGUCUGAAAUCCCUCGGCUCAACCGAGGAACUGGGCUUCGAACUGGCAGACUAGAGUGAAGUAGGGGUAAGCGGAACUUGCGGUGGAGCGGUGAAAUGCUUUGAUAUCGCAAGGAACACCGGCGGCGAAGGCGGCUUACUGGGCUUCAACUGACGCUUAAGCGCGAAAGCUAGGGUAGCGAACGGGAUUAGAUACCCUGGUAGUCCCUGAGCGGGCU